UACGUAGGUGGCAAGCGUUGUCCGGAUUUAUUGGGCGUAAAGCGCGCGCAGGCGGUCCUUUAAGUCUGAUGUGAAAUCUUGCGGCUCAACCGCAAGCGGUCAUUGGAAACUGGGGGACUUGAGUACAGAAGAGGAAAGCGGAAUUCCACGUGUAGCGGUGAAAUGCGUAGAGAUGUGGAGGAACACCAGUGGCGAAGGCGGCUUUCUGGUUUGUAACUGACGCUGAGGCGCGAAAGCGUGGGGAGCAAACAGG
rnacentral:rRNA from 1 species